UACGUAGGGGGCAAGCGUUGUCCGGAUUUAUUGGGCGUAAAGAGCGUGUAGGCGGCUUUGCAAGUCCGUUGUGAAAACUCGAGGCUCAACCUCGAGACGCCGGUGGAAACUGCAAAGCUAGAGUCCGGAAGAGGAGAGUGGAAUUCCUGGUGUAGCGGUGAAAUGCGCAGAUAUCUGGAGGAACACCGGUGGCGAAGGCGGCAUCCUGGACCGGUAUUGACGCUGAGGCGCGAAAGCCAGGGGAGCAAACGGG
rnacentral:rRNA from 1 species